UACCCGCAGCACAAGUGGUGGUCAUUAUUAUUGGGCUUAAAGCGUCCGUAGCUGGCGUGUUAGAUGCCUGGGUAAAUCGAUGCGCUCAACGCAUCGAACUCCGGGUAGACCGGCACGCUCGAGACCGGGAGAGGCAUGGGCUACUCGAGGGGUAGGGGUAAAAUCCUGUAAUCCUUCGGGGAGGACCAGUGGCGAAGGCGCCAUGCUAGAACGGCUCUGACAGUGAGGGACGAAGCCCUGGGGCGCAAACCGG
rnacentral:rRNA from 1 species